rnacentral:rRNA from 1 species
AUUGAACGCUGGCGGCAGGCUUAACACAUGCAAGUCGAGCGGGGUGAUGGUGCUUGCACUAUCACUUAGCGGCGGACGGGUGAGUAAUGCUUAGGAAUCUGCCUAUUAGUGGGGGACAACAUCUCGAAAGGGAUGCUAAUACCGCAUACGUCCUACGGGAGAAAGCAGGGGAUCACUUGUGACCUUGCGCUAAUAGAUGAGCCUAAGGCGGAUUAGCUAGUUGGUGGGGUAAAGGCCUGCCAAGGCGACGAUCUGUAGCGGGUCUGAGAGGAUGAUCCGCCAAACUGGGGAUGAGAAACGGGCCAGACUCCUUCGGGAGGGAGCAGGGGGGAAUAUUGGAAAAUGGGGGGAACCCUGAUCCAGCCAUGCCGCGUGUGUGAAGAAGGCCUUAUGAUUGUAAAGCACUUUAAGCGAGGAGGAGGCUCUUUUGGUUAAUACCCAAGAUGAGUGGACGUUACUCGCAGAAUAAGCACCGGCUAACUCUGUGCCAGCAGCAGCCGCCG